UGCCAGGAACCAUUUCUGGACUGAAGUUCAACAUCAAGCUGCUGGAACUCUGACCCCUCUGCACGACCAUGACGUGCAGAGGCAUCGCCAGGAACCCCCAGAUGAAUGAAUCCUGACUGGCCAUCAGAUUUACAUCACUGUAACUGAGAGCAGAAGCAGGAUUCAUGGGGAUAUCGUUUGCUAUGAUACCACAAGCAAUGUAAAGUCCAAUGGCCUCUAUUUGCACAGAAUCCUCUGAUUAAAACAAGAAAACUUUAUGAGUCUAGAGAAGGUUCUGGCUACAACAAAAGUUCUUGGUAAGCAUGACUGAGAGAGAUCAGGG